ACCCAAUCGUUGGACUGCGGGAGAUACUGCUGGGCUAGGGGGCGGGAGAAGCCGACGGUAUUCUCGGGGUAGGGGUGAAAUCCUAUAAUCCCGGGAGGACCACCAGUGGCGAAGGCGGUCGGCUAGAACGCGCUCGACGGUGAUGGACGAAAGCUGGGGGAGCGAACCGGAUUAGAUACCCGGGUAGUCCCAGCUGUAAACGAUGCGGGCUAGGUGUUGGGGGGGCUACGAGCCUCUUCAGUGCCGCAACGAAGGCAUUAAGCCCGCCGCCUGGGGAGUACGGCCGCAAGGCUGAAACUUAAAGGAAUUGGCGGGGGAGCACCACAAGGGGUGAAGCUUGCGGUUUAAUUGGAGUCAACGCCGGGAACCUUACCGGGGGCGACAGCAGAAUGAAGGCCAGAUUGAAGGUCUUGCUAGAUGAGCUGAGAGGAGGUGCAUGGCCGUCGCCAGUUCGUGCCGUGAGGUGUCCUGUUAAGUCAGGCAACGAUCGAGACCCGCACCCCCUGUUGCCAGCGGAUCCCGCUGGGAUGCUGGGCACACUGGGGGGACCGCCGCCGAUAAGGUGGAGGAAGGAGCGGGCCACGGCAGGUCAGUAUGCCCCGAAUCCCCCGGGCCACACGCGAGCUGCAAUGGCUGGGACAAUGAGUUUCGACCCCGAGAGGGAGAGACAAUCCCGAAACCCAGCCUCAGUUGGGAUCGAGGGCUGCAACCCGCCCUCGU
rnacentral:rRNA from 1 species